GGGUGGUAAUGCCGGAUGCUCCAUCACACCGCAUGGUGUGUUGGGAAAGCCUUUGCGGCAUGGGAUGGGGUCGCGUCCUAUCAGCUUGAUGGCGGGGUAACGGCCCACCAUGGCUUCGACGGGUAGCCGGCCUGAGAGGGCGACCGGCCACAUUGGGACUGAGAUACGGCCCAGACUCCUACGGGAGGCAGCAGUGGGGAAUAUUGCACAAUGGGCGCAAGCCUGAUGCAGCGACGCCGCGUGAGGGAUGGAGGCCUUCGGGUUGUAAACCUCUUUUGUUAGGGAGCAAGGCAUUUUGUGUUGAGUGUACCUUUCGAAUAAGCACCGGCUAACUACGUGCCAGCAGCCGCGGUAAUACGUAGGGUGCAAGCGUUAUCCGGAAUUAUUGGGCGUAAAGGGCUCGUAGGCGGUUCGUCGCGUCCGGUGUGAAAGUCCAUCGCUUAACGGUGGAUCCGCGCCGGGUACGGGCGGGCUUGAGUGCGGUAGGGGAGACUGGAAUUCCCGGUGUAACGGUGGAAUGUGUAGAUAUCGGAAA
rnacentral:rRNA from 1 species